rnacentral:rRNA from 1 species
UAACCAGGAUUCCCUCAGUAACGGGGAGUGAACCGGGAUCCCUUGCUCAAGACCGGAAUCCCCUCGGGGAGUUGUAGUCUAUGGACUGUCUUACUUGGCCCACCGCACUAGCAAAGUCCCUUGGAAUAGGGCGCCAGAGAGAGUUAUAGCCUCGUCGCGCUAGUGCAGAAGCCUCUAUGUAGUCAGCUCUGAGAGUCGGGUUGUUUGGGAAUGCAGCCCUAAGCGGGAGGUACACACCUUCUAAAGCUAAAUAUUCAGGCAAGAGACCGAUAGCGAACAAGUACCGUGAGGGAAAGUUGAAAAGCACUCUGGAGAGAGAGUGAAAAGCGCGUGAAACCAUUAGUAGGGAACCGCUUGCACGGUGCACUAUAGGGCCAUUGCCUCGGCAGUGGCCCUUGCCCAGGACCAGUUUGGGUUUUCGGCUGGAGAAGCCGGCGGCAAAGGUAGCUGCUCCCUCGGGGGCAGUGUUAUAGAGCCGUCGGCACUGCAGCCGCCCGGACUGAGGAUCGCGACAUCCCCCCUCGUGGGGGCGCCAGGCGGCGGAGGCCAGGCGUGUUUUGGUUGCUAGACAGCGUGCUGACUAGCGGGCAACUCGCGCUUGCCACCUGCGUACGCUCUGGUUAAUUGUACACAGGCCCUGGGAUGCGCCGAACAAUCGA